AGAUCAUAAAUGUACAUAACUUAUUAACAGGUUAAACAUAUCAUUAAAAGGUUUACUGGUCAACCCAUAACAUGACAUGAUUAUUUUCGUAUUCCAAUCGAGUUGACACGAUAAUGACACAAGCAUGAUAAGCUUGAACCUAAAUUGGAUUUGUGUUUUGUCCAAUAUUGCCACCCUAGCCUAAAGCAUAUAAAUUCACGAAUACAAUUUAUUGUUAAAAUUUUUCCGUGUGUAUUCAUAACAAAUACCCUACCCAUUCUUGAAAUUUGUAAUAAUAUCACUAGCAACUUAUCAGCUCAUGAAAAAGGUAUGUGAAAACCAUUAUCAAACCCUCAAAAGCAAUUUAAAAAGAGAUACAGGAAAAGAAAUACAUAUUUCACAAACCAUUAAGAAAA
rnacentral:misc_RNA from 1 species